CAGCCCUAAACGAUGCGCGUUAGGUGUAUCGGUGACCACGAGUCACCGAGGUGCCGAAGGGAAACCGUGAAACGUGCCGCCUGGGAAGUACGGUCGCAAGGCUGAAACUUAAAGGAAUUGGCGGGGGAGCACCUCAACGGGUGGAGCCUGCGGUUUAAUUGGACUCAACGCCGGGAAGCUUACCGGAUAAGACAGCGGAAUGAUUGCCGGGCUGAAGACCCUGCAUGACCAGCUGAGAGGUGGUGCAUGGC
rnacentral:rRNA from 1 species